rnacentral:rRNA from 1 species
GAUGAACGCUGGCGGCGUGCCUAAUACAUGCAAGUCGAGCGAACGAACGAGAAGCUUGCUUCUCUGAUGUUAGCGGCGGACGGGUGAGUAACACGUGGAUAACCUACCUAUAAGACUGGGAUAACUUCGGGAAACCGGAGCUAAUACCGGAUAAUAUUUUGAACCGCAUGGUUCAAAAGUGAAAGACGGUCUUGCUGUCACUUAUAGAUGGAUCCGCGCUGCAUUAGCUAGUUGGUAAGGUAACGGCUUACCAAGGCAACGAUGCAUAGCCGACCUGAGAGGGUGAUCGGCCACACUGGAACUGAGACACGGUCCAGACUCCUACGGGAGGCAGCAGUAGGGAAUCUUCCGCAAUGGGCGAAAGCCUGACGGAGCAACGCCGCGUGAGUGAUGAAGGUCUUCGGAUCGUAAAACUCUGUUAUUAGGGAAGAACAUAUGUGUAAGUAACUGUGCGCAUCUUGACGGUACCUAAUCAGAAAGCCACGGCUAACUACGUG